rfam:Salmo salar isolate Sally breed double haploid chromosome ssa17, whole genome shotgun sequence.
UCCCAGUCUAGCAGAAUCCUUUCUGCCCAGACUAGAUUCUCUGAUACUUAGUGUGCGGAAACGCUUCUGUUAUACUGGUG